UCUCCGCUUGCGCGGGCAGUCUCUCUAGAGUCCCCACCAUUACGUGCUGGCAACUAAAGAUAAGGGUUGCGCUCGUUGCGGGACUUAACCCAACAUCUCACGACACGAGCUGACGACAGCCAUGCAGCACCUGUGUCCACUUUCCCUUUCGGGCACCUAAUGCAUCUCUGCUUCGUUAGUGGCAUGUCAAGGGUAGGUAAGGUUAUUCGCGUUGCAUCGAAUUAAUCCACAUCAUCCACCGCUUGUGCGGGUCCCCGUCAAUUCCUUUGAGUUUUAAUCUUGCGACCGUACUCCCCAGGCGGUCAACUUCACGCGUUAGCUGCGGUACUGAGAAAUCGCUUCCCCAACACCUAGUUGACAUCGUUUAGGGCGUGGACUAC
rnacentral:misc_RNA from 1 species